rnacentral:misc_RNA from 1 species
GCUGGGCUGAGUGUUCAGCGGAGUUCGGCGUGGAGCGGUGAUUUUCAGGCUCUGGUGAGGGGUCGUGUCCCGCCCUCCGGCCCCAGCCAGCGAGGGCAUUCAGUACAGGACGAGACCUUGACGUGAGGAGGUUGGGUUGCUGUGGAUGAGCGUAAUUGGCUUCAUUUUUUUGUCAUCAAUUGUCCCAAUGAUCUUGACUCGAGGAGGUUAGGC